GCCCGCAGCCGCCAUCUGGCGGUGGGAGCCCGGCCCUGCCCGGCUGAAGGGGCCGCUAAUGAAAUUCUCGAUGAUUAUUAAAUGACGAAAGAUCCCCCUCCUUCAGCUCGUGACAGAGCAGCAGGCGCCGAGGCUGAUUUUAGUUGAAGCACAGAAAGCGUGUGGGUGUUCCCAGCGCAGUGGGGAGGGGGAGAUGGGACCCCCUGGCAGCCCACCCCUGUGCUCGUUUAGCCACCCCGCUUUGGUUUGGGGUUCCUUUGGGGUUCCUGUGAGCAACCACAGUGCUUUGGGGACACUGUGGCACCUCAGUGGUGUGAGCCGCCCGGGUCUGAAGGGCAGCUGGGUACGUCCAGGUGGCCCAGACUUUGCCUGUGAGGCACUGACUCACCUGUGCCUGCGUGCCACGCCACGGGACCGGCCACGUCACCGCCCGUCCCCACCGGUCAGAGGCGAGCCAUGGAGUCACCCCUUGGCCCUGCCGGGGCGACGUGGCCGGCAGGGUGUCUUGGCAGCAGAGCAGCUGGGAGAGGGACAUUCCCGUCACGCCCCGAGCAGUGCCUAGGGUCAAGGGUGCGAGCCCCGUUGUGAGCGCCUCAGUUCCCACUCUUCAUUCCGUGCAGCAUUCGGGGUUUGUGUUUCCUAAACCCCAGCUCGGGGGAAAGAAGCCGGCACCAGAGCACUUCCCCAGUGCCCCCCAGCCUGCGUUUCGGCUCUGAGACCACAAGAACGACUGUGGCGUUGCACAAGCGACCCUGCCGCGGACGUGCUUGGUUUCUGCAGGGCUCCCAGCCCCGCAAUAUGCCGCUAAAGCUGCUUGGAAGCGAUGCUGGAAAAGGUGACAGGCUGGGAUUUAAAUAGCUGUGACUGAUCUAGGCCUCCACCAGAGAAAUCUGAAUAUCAAAGCAUUCAAGGCACCGGUCUCAGGGGCUGCCUCAAAGUGUGUCUGCGUGUUCCCAGCGCAGGGCGAUCAGGUGGGAACUGGUGUUUGUGGUGUGGCCCCCGUGCUUGGGGGCCGAGCGUGCCUGAGGCUGCAGGGAUAAGCAUGGAUCCUGGGCAUCCCUGCAUCCUUCAGCUCCUUUUUUUCCCCGUUAUCCUGCCCGUGCUGAAUCCAAAAGGGCACCAGGAGCAGGGCAGGUCACCUCACGGCACACACUCGGCCCUUUUUGCCAUCCCGAGCCGCUGCUGCGGAGCCGGGCCCAUCCACAGGCAGGUUUUGCUAGGUGUGGGGGCGGUGGGACCGGCAGGGCUGCCUGCAAGCACAGCUACACGCGCCCGGGCUUCAUUCCUCUGACAACUGAUCCCUGAGUUUUUCCCUUUGACCCUGGAGCUGAAACCUCCCUUUGCAGGAAUGUUUUCGGGGGGAGUUUGGCGCAGCUCCAGCUGCUGAAUUUUUCCAUGAACAGAGACCAGCCCCUGCCUUACAAGGCCCCACAGCAUUUGCUGCGGCUGCUCUCCUGCAAUCACCUAUUUAAGGAUUUAAGUCCCCAGUGGGGAGUGGGACAACGCCAGCCCUUAGGCUCUGAGCAGCCCUGCAGCCACAAAGCUGGCGCUGGUGGCUGUGAGCCCCAUGGGAGGAUGCUGGGGCACAUGGAGCUGGUUGCUCAGGCUCCCCCUGCAGCAGUGGGCUGCUGACCACCUCCGUGAGGGUUCUCCUGUGCUUGUUGUUCCUAAAAAGUACAGCAGACUGAGCCCAGUUCUCCUGAUCAUCCCCCUUGCCAUGCACAGGAAACAGCAGCCAACAAUGAUGUGAAGAAUGCACUCUGCCAGCUGCAGGCCAGGCGCUCCAAGGUGGGACACGGCCAAAUUUCAGCUGCCCAGGUAACCUCAGCUCAACCCACACUGUACGUGGCACAUCCUUAGUGCCCAGGGAGGAAACCAGGCUUCGGGACACAGCUGCAGCCUGUCUGAGGGACACGCAGGUGGGUUGUCACUGAAGCUGGGGAUGAAAAAAGCAGGUUUGUGAGCAGGUUUGGUCUCAAGUUCCCAACAGCAGGCAGAGCAGGGCUGGGGCUCCCAAAUAAAGCUUUUGUCAGGCGGCUUCUGACUGCGUUCCUCUUUGUUUUGCCCCAAACUUGAAGCCUGGGGAUGGGAUGUGAGGUGCUGACCCAGAUCUGCCGCAGUCAGUGGAAACACUUGAAGAGCUGUAGGUGGCUAAAACUCGCCAAAAAAUCAGCCCCUUGGGGGACAAAAGCAGGGACAAAAGUGUUUGGGGGUGCUUGCAGGGAGGGCGAUGGUUGCUGGCCCCAGCCUCCCCUAGCAGCUCUGGCACAGCACAAGCGGCGUGAAGGGAUGUGGUGUUUCCUGGUGAGGUUUUUACUGUCUGCCCAGGGGAAAUUUCUGUUCUUUGGCUGCGUAAGUGCAAAAAAAAAAAAUAAAAACAGAAACAGGCUGGGGGGGUGGGGCAGGUAAACUGGAUGAAACAGAGUACAGAAACAGGGCAGCUUUUAUAGGAAGCGUAGAGGGGGCUGUUGCAGGAAUGUGAGUUGAAAGCAGUUGUCCCAGGGCAGAGUAAAGGAACCUGGUGUCUGUGGUGCAUGCCGUGUGCUCACAGAGAUGGUGGCUGAGCGCUGAGGCCAUCCCUAGAGCCCUGCCCGACAGACUCCCCCUUCCACUGAUGCUGCUGAUCCCUUGUGCUAACCAGGGGGAGAGCAAAGCUCAGAGCAGUGGCGGGGCUUUCCUCUGGUUGUACUCUGUCACUGCAGGGGAGCUGAAAGGGGCCAUGGCCUGGGUGAACCCCACCUGUAACAUUUUUUCUUGCCUGCAGAGGCAAACCAUCCACGUGGGUUUUGCUUGUUCCUGCCCUUGCAGGGUUGCCCUGGGGCAUUCGAUUCCCUGGGAAUGGCCCGCAGGCCCCUGGUCAUCUGCCUCCCUGUCUUUAAAUAUCCGCCAGAGAGCGGAGGGGAUGGAGCCAGGUGGGAAUUUGGUUUAUUUUAGUGCUUGGCAAGAUGGGAAAGGAAGCAGCUGAGCCUACGGGGGUGCCCUUUGCGUGACCCGGGCGCUUGCACCGCUGUGAGCAUGGUGCCACCAGCUCAGCCCAGUCCCUGUGCUGUGCCAGGGGAGUUUUGUUUUUUACAGCCCUUCUCGUCCCUUGGCAUACAUUUGGCAUGCUCCUUGUGCCACCGGUACGAAGCUGCAGGGGAUGGCUGCCCUAGACAGCCCCCAGCCUGGGGUGCUGGCAGUUUUGGUUUUGUGUUGACGAGGUGACAGCUGUGCCACCUCUUUGCCCUGCUUUGGCCUCAAUUUGCAUGAGGGGCUGCUCCCCCAGCCCCUCAGCACCUUGUGGGCAGCUUCAGCCCACGCUGUCCUCCCAGAAAUAGAGCCAAAAGCACAGCUUUACGCCUCCAAAGGCAAGUUUUGCCGUUUCUCUGUUUCUGUGGCAAGAUUUGGUUUCUCUCUUUGCAGGAGGGCACGGCCAACAGGGAGCAGUGCUGCUGUGGCAUGGAGCUCUGUGACAGCACAGCUGGCAUGGGGCAGUGGCCUCCACACUGGGGUCACCCCAGCCCGUGGGGGCCAAGGACGUGGUUUUGGUUGUGUCACAGCUGGGACAGGACCAGGGCAGUGGUAGGAGCCUGGGAGGUGUCACGCUGCUCACUCCUCUGCCUCAACAAUCCGUGCUGGGAUGCGGGAGAGUGCAGGAGGCGACCACUGGCAUUACCUCCGCCCAUCUCCUGCCCCAAGCACGCAUCCACCAGGGCUCUGGGAGCCGUGGGACCCUGCCUGGUCUACCCGUGCCAGAUGUCAAGGCUCUCGAUCGGCGCCGGCUGGCUGGAGAUGAAAGCAGCCACGCUCCCACACUGGGUCACGCAGUCCCUGCCAGACACUGCUGUUUGCCGUCCCCCCUGCCUGCGGGGAGAGCUGCCUGCCUCCCCUGCAGUGUGGCUGCACACCCAGGCGAGGGUCAUCAGUGCUCCAUGAAGCAGAGAUGGGCAAAAACCUGGGGACAAGAGCUUGCAAACUGCCUGGGGACAGAUCUGGCUGUGGGGACAGGUUUGUGUUCAGAAGGAGUGGGUCGUUGCCCCAUCUCAGGGCACUGGCACAACCGUGGGAUCCUUUAGGAUGAAACAGGACCUCCUCAGGAAGCCACUGGCCUCAAAUCCCCCUGCUGGAGGCCGCAGUAGGACGGGGAGUGCCGAGCCAUGACCCAGCACAGCACCAAGUUGUCACUGAUGUUAUGUUUGGCCAGCACCAGCCUUCCCCAGCCCCCAGAUGGGGUGAUGAGAGCCCAGGGCAGCGCAGCAGCGUUCAGAAACAACAUCGAGCCCCCCCAAAAUUACAGUGCUAACUUUGGAAGGUGUCACAGCGGAUGGGCAGAGUCCCCGUGGAAGGGAGAGCUGAAACCAGUGAUUUCCAGUGAUGUGCUUGUUCUGGGGCUCGGUGCCGGGACGCAUUAAGCAAACGUAAUGAGGCAUCGCGCAGAGCAAGCCUUUCAGUGACCCUACCCUACUGUAUCUGCUGUUUAUCGGGGGUCACUGUGACCCCUGUCUCACAUCCAGGAGUCUGGCAGCCCCGCAGCACACCGUGGCAUGCUGCAGGCUUUAGGUAAUGCACAGGACGGGUGCAGGAAAGGAAAUCAGCAAGCAUGCACGAGGAGUUGCUGGGGUGCACAUUUGGGAUCGCACAGGAACACGGCACAAAUGCCACCAGCACCCCUGGUGCCCCGUGCCAGGGGUGACAUCUCUCAGGAGCUCCCACAAAAAAAAAAAAAAAAUCUAUCUCACAGCAUUUAUUGGGUGAUAAAAGAGCAGUUGGCAGCUCUGCUGGAAGCAGCAUUUCUCCUGUUUGGUUUUGCAAGGAAAAUUAUCCCAAACCCACUUCUCGCACAGCUCUUUCCCCUUUGAUGUGAGCUGAAGAGUUUUUGGCUACCCAGACGUUUCAGGGCUUUUUAAAAAAGUUUUACGCUGUUUCGCUGGAUUUCCCCCCGCAAGUGGAUUCCCCCCCGCAAGAGGUUAACGGUUCAGCUGUAAGUUAGAGGAAGUUAUCUGAAGCAAUCUUGCAAUUUAUAGCUUUUCGUUCACUAAAUAAGAAACGGUCAGGAAAUUAAACAGGAAAUUGCAUCUGGAAGGAAAACUCAGACAAAAGUUGAGUUGUCAGAACACGCUUAGGAAGGAUUUGCUUUAUUUUAAACAGUAAGGAGCCAAGAUCAAUAGUCAGAAAAAGAAGGAGCUUUGUGCAAAUUAAAUCACACAUUAAGGAAAAAAAAUAACAAAACACUUGGGGAAGAAAAGAAGGUUUUGUAAGGAGAAGGUGAGGAUAUCCUAUGAAAAAUCAGAAGUAAGGCUUCGCAUUUUCAGCUUGGAGGUGCUGAAACACAAAGGCCUAGCUGAGAGCUUUACUUCAGCCUGUGCCAGCCUGGUUCCUGGCGUUGCCCACACCAUGCUUCACUGUGUGAGAAGCAGAAGCCAACAAGUGCCAAACACGAUGCAGCUGCAGGGAUCUUUCCAGGCCUCCCUCCUCCAGCAAAAGCUGCCGAGACGCUGCGUGCUCCUGGCCUCAGCUUUUCUGCAGGGUUGCCCAGCGGGGAGGGCCAGCCCCAGCCAAAUGGGACUGCUGGGCAAGGGAAAAUGCAGCUGUGAGCACUGCUGCUCCUUCUGCAAACUGCAGUGCUUUAUAAGGAUCCCAAGCAAAUAUUUGCUCCCGUGUCGCCUACGUGCAUUGUUCUCAGGGUUAAUUACAGGCUCCAGCAGGGAGAUUGGGUAAGCUGUGAUGUUGUUUUACCAUCAUACUCCUCAUCUUAUCAGCGUUUGAGAAGCAAGCUUAGCAAGUGCCGAACUGUACGGGUAGGUCAGGGCUGAUGACCCGAAGCCUCUGCCUGGCAGGUGGCACUGAGGGUUUUCAGGUGUACGCUUGUACCUGGCGGCACCUGACUCGAGGAAGCUUUUCUCCAGGAUCCUUUAUUAUAUUUACUGUGGUGGCUUCCCUGAAACAAUCUUUGCUAUGACAGCUCUUCAACUGUGUAUGGUUCAAGCUGCAUGUGAUUAAUCCCCUGCUGAUAAGAGGACCAUAACACAUGGGAGCCGUGCCAGCCCCGAGCAGCCACGUGGGCUGAGCAAAUGUGGCCACGGAGGGGACCUGGAGGAGGCAGCUGUGGCCGAGGGUCGUGUUGCACUGCCUCUUGCAGCACUGUCCACCCCCAGGAGGAAGAUUUUGGGCACUCCCUGACAUGGUUAAAAUAGCUGCGGGUGCGGCGUGUGCUGUUGCUCCCACAGCUUGGAGAACACUGAGGAAGUUUGGGGGAAUUUCCCACCACCAGGGGCACGGCUGGGGGACCUGCAGGGGGAUUUCACUCAAACAAAGCAAGAGCUCGGAGCCUACCACCCAUUUCUGACAGGGCAUUUUAACAAAGGGCCACCCUCCUCUUAGAAAUGCCGUUGUUUGACUUGGCAGCGUGUCCUGAAGGUAAUAACUGCUCUAUCAUCAUCGCACUGCCACUGUGGAGACUCUGCCCUUUGCGGGAAGAGGUGGCGUGGUUCUGAUGCAAUUAGCAGGACAUCCCCUGCAAGAAGGUGUGACAGCACUGGUAGAGAAAGGCAGCCGUAGUGGCACACCAUCAAACCACGGGCAUGGAUGUGGGAUCCACGUGGGACUCGGCAGGCUGGCUCAGGUCCCGCCAAGAGCCACCUCAGCAGCACCGUGCCCGGGACGAGCAGCGCAAACACCUCUCAAACACCUCUCCUGCAGCCGGGAGGGCUGGAGCUCCUCGUGGGCCGUGACUCAGCCCUUCUGCACCUCCCUCGGGGCGAAGCCGCCCUUCCUCACCCCGAGCCGUGGUGUGGGGUGAGGCUGUCCCCGUUGGCCGGAGUCCUGCUGUGUGCACAUUUCCAGUGUGGCGUGCUUGUGACCGUUCACCCACGAACCUCGGGGCUCUCGUCAUGCUGUGCGGGUGGGAGAGCGGGGUGUCCACAGUGUGAUGUGGUGCUUUUUGUCACUGCGGCUCUGCUUUGUGUCACGGGGGCUGCGUUAAAACCGGGAUAAAUCCUGUGAGCACACCGCUGGCGUGCACCUGAGCAUGUUCUGCCCCAAGGCUGACCACCCUCUACUUAUUACAAUGAAUAAAUUAAUAGUAAUAACGAACAAUAA